AGGACAACACAUUUUCCAGUGUACAGAAAACAGUCAAUGAUAUUGCAGCUAAAGCAAGACGCUUAGCGUAUGACCCAACCUACAUGUCACCAUUUGCUAUGCAUGCAAGGGAGAAUGGAAUGGAGUUUACAGGUGGUAAGCCAGAUGAUAUCACCGUCCUGAUGUCAACGGUUGGCUAUGACAGCGAUGACGACACAUAGCACUCACUCACCUCCGUCUUGAGAGAGAGAGGCGGUUUCCCUUGUAGACUCUAUAACAGACUGUUUGGUAUUUUGGUACCUCAGAUUGCAGUCCUGAAACAGUUUAUCUUGUGAAUAGAUUAUAUAUAUGGAGACUUGUUAGCUAGGCCAGAAACAAGAGGAUGGAAUAUGGUUUUGGGAUCAAAGGAUGGAUGAGGGAGCAACCGAGAGGAAGUUAUUGUGAUCCUUGGAAGUAAAAGUUCAGAUGUACUCUCCGAUUCAUGGUCUAUAUAUAAAAGUCAACAGUUUGAGAUGGGUGUAUAAUCUGUUCGUUGUGCAGCUUGUUUACAGGCGAUGUUGAGGGAAAAGCUUCUGUAUCUUUGGCAAAAACAUGGUUUGCCCUCCCCUCUAUCAAUAAGAGGUCAGUUUCCUCAAGACUGCUAUGCUAAAGAGGUGGAUAUUCAUGUUGCUUCUACAUAUUAAAGCUUAUCUAUCCAUCUAUACUGAUGGUCGAACAUCAAUGGUGCAAGGAGAUGCUGAGGAAAGAACUAACAAUUCAUGGUGUUUGUUGUUGUAGGUUACCUUCAACAUAGAGGAAGAGGUAUCUGGUCAGGAAUGAGGCAAUCUUUGUCUCACCCAACCAUUUCUCAGUCAAUGCCCAUGACAUCCAUAUCCUUUAAAGGAUCUCCCAGAUAAGAAAUCCAGUGAUCCCAAUGUCUUUCUACCCCCAACCAGGAUCAGCUGUGUCCUUUUAAGAGGUUUAUCCUGGUUGGGUUUUUAAAGUGGAAAACAGACGGGAUCAUCAGGGUAUGCAGUCUGGUGAAAUAAGAGUUAAAACAAUAUUAUCAUGUAGGCAGUGUCCAUUAAUGAAUUCAUUAAUAAUAAUCAUAAAUUUUAUAUAUAAAGACCAAAUGUUAUUCAUAAAAUGAUUGUAUGGUCAUAUUGGUGAAACAGUUUAUUACAGUGUUGUCAAGCCUAUACGUCUAUAACUCUCUCAAUAAUUUGCAAGGCAUGCUAGUCAUGUUUCUAUUUUAUUUUAUGAAUUAUUGUUUUUUUUUAUUGAAGAGAUACAUGUACAUGCUAAUUUAUGGUAUUUAUUAUAUUCAUCAUUUUAGAGAAGCAGCAAUAUCUGAAUCAUUUUUUUUUCUGUUCAAUAAUUUUUUUUUGGUUCUGAGAAUAUUGUAAUCUGAAUCCAGGUGAAGCAAUUCAACAAAAUAAUUUUCUGUUACAGAAAACCUUCAUACUCGAUCAAUCAUUAUCACUUCAUGGAAUAGUUGAAAUGUAUACUAUGUUCAUGGACAAUAGUAUGAUGGAGAUGACUUUGUUUAAUUCAAUUCAAGGUUCAUUCUUAAUCACAAUACAAGAAGCUCAGUCUUAUUUAGUGAAAAUAUUAGAAACGAGUGUGGAUUCACAUUAUUGCAAUUCAUAUCCAAAGACAUGCUAAACUUUAUAAACAGCUUUCUGAACGCCCUUUAAGAUCAGUUACUUCACCAAGCAGAAGUGCUAUCAAACAGUUUAUUCAGUGAAGUGUCUCUUAUUCUUUCUCCUUUUAGCACACUGUGCUUGCUACAUGUAUACAGCAUGUUUUAACAUGCUCUUUUUCACUCUUCCAUUUAGUAUUAAUUCAUGUGAAUGAUGUGAAAUGUUAUGUUCUCUUGCACAAGUUAUAGCAUCAGUUGUUAACCACAAAAAGAGGGACAAAAACACACUAGUUUGUUUUCACUGUAAAUUGUCAACUGAAUUGUGUUUUUUUUUCAAUUGAUGUGCUGAUUUUAAGUGAACAUAUUGUGUACCAUAUUGCAAUAUAUAUAUAUUGAAUCUUGUGUGUGAUUUGUAUUGUAUAAUGGUCUCUUUCACAGUCGGAUAGCCUUUCUCUUCAGACUUCUUGAAGUAAAUUAUUGAAUUCUGUUCACAAUCUGGAUAAUCUUUAAGUUUUGACUGAAGGAGUUUCAUACUGUGCAUAUGUUAAGAGGGUUUCAGAUUUGAGUUGGGAGUUUGGAUAUCAAACUACUUGUAGCUGAUGGAACACCAACUUUGCAAGGGAAGUUAAACUUGAUCAAUUAAAACAACUUUUAAAACUGUAAGUUACGAGCGAUGAUUAUCCUUUCUAGGAUCAACAUCAACUGAAUCAACAUCAAUGAACAUUUGGUGUAAUACUACAAGAAAGGACUGCCAAUUUUAUCGUAAAGUUGUUUGUAACUUACGAGCAGCUUAUGAAAUACCCACCAGAAGUAAUUGACAUUUAUAAUACAGAUAUGUAUGUGGAGGAAUUUUUAUUUAAAUUAAUUGAAAUUGCACCAUCUACCAUCCAAAUAUUGUGAAUUCUUCUUUUCUUCAUACAUCACUAUUUUUACAGACCCUGAAUUUCAAUGUUUUUCAAAAGCUACAUUCUAUGCCAGAUCUCGUAACAAAAUGUCACUUGUGGGCAUCUUGAUACAAACAAAAAUCUUCUAAAUUGAUUCAUACUAUGUAUACAUUUAUUUCAACCCACGACAAGCUUCAUUCAACCUUCAUAAAAUAAGAGCAGCGUUGUUAUAUAUUCCACUUUAAUAGUGAAGUUGUCUUGGCAUCAAGGCCAAAUUGCUUUAAAAUGGGAAAGGCAAAUGACAGUACUUUUUUUAGAUUAGAGCAGUCAUUAUCACAUAAAAUCGUUGCUUAGUAUAUUUAGAAAUAUAUAUGACUUUGACAAGACAAUAAAGAUCAUGUGACAUCCAGCAAUUUUCUGGUUUAUACAAGAUUGACUGUAAAACAUAGUGCUUCUGAACUGGAUAAUUUUCUUCUUUUUUGUUGUAAAAAAAAUGUCUCUUUAUGAUGUAUCAUUCAUUUGCUUGGCCAGCUUCAUGAUACAUACUACACUUAGUGGUUUCUUUUGCUGUCUGUAUGAUGAAUUGGCAUGAAAUCUUCAGAAUUCUGCAAGAGAUUCUUUGGAUAACAAAGUAUUAACUAUGUUGCUUUAUCAUACAUUGUACAUGUACAAAUGGAGUCUGCAUCAUUUAUGGAAAUCAGUAAAACACUUCCAAGUGUGGUUUUCUCUGUAUUUUUUAAUAAGUUAUUAAACAUUGGAAUUUGAUUUUUUUUUGUGUUUAAUCAAGAACAUAUCAAAAUUGAUAUAAUACGAGUAAAAAGACAGAAAUCCUAGGCUUUGCAUUGUCAACAUAUCAAUGAUUUCAUUUGAUUAUAAUAUUUGUUUUAUUUUUUAUUUUCAGUCCUUUUAUGCUGUCUGCUAUUUGUAUAAAGUCAGAAAAGGGUCAUUGUUUUAUAUAUUUAAUAUUAUGUAUUGCAAUAUUUAUUUGGUGCUGGGUGAACAUGAUGUGAACUAUUAUAAUCCAGUCAGAAAUUGUUGCAGAAAUAUCCUCAGUUUUAUCUUAUAACUACAUAUGAUGUCUUUUAUGUUAAAGUUUGUCUUUAAAAAAAAAAUUGUUUCCUGUUCCAUAAAAUUUGUUGGUAGCAGGAGCUAGAAUUCUAUGAGAGUGUCAUUUUAUCUUAACAUGUGACAUGAUUUCAGUAGCUUUUAACACUAGCUUGUAACCAGUCAUUCAUAACAAAUUGUAUCAAAGGUGAAAGGUUGUUUAUUUAUGAUGAAAUCAAUGAUAUACAAGUCUUUGUUAUGGGCCUCAUUUAGCUGGAAAGAAUUGUAUUCAAAGCGAAUCUUUCUCUUGGUAAGAGAUACAUGUACUUUAUAAUUGUGAAACAUUCAGACUAGACUUGUUUAGUGGCUGGUGCACAAGAUUCAUGUCUUUAGAACCAGCACACUUUCAAUUUACACCCGUCCGCAGGUUUCACAACGAUGCAUUUAUUUUAAUACCCCUUUCACAAACCCAAUUAUGCGGAUAAUAUCCGCACAAUUUGGUUGUAAAAUCGGAGCAGGACCAGAGUUAUCCGCAUUAUUUCGAUGCUGCAAUUAUCCGCAUAAUAGCAGCAUCGGGACCAGAUUUUGGCUUUGUGAAUGCAUUUCCAAAGUAAUUCGGAUAAUUGCCAUGUUAGCAAGAUUGACUUUAUUAUACCCUAUUAUUGGAAAAUAUUUCUUGCUUUAAAGUGAUAUUCAAUUACUAUUAUGCUAGAAUUAAUACAUCCUCCAUUCCUCCUCAAUUUCAAUGAAUUUUCCAUUUUUUUAAUGUUACAUAUAGUAUGUAAAGCUCUAAAGAUAAUUCACUGUAAUGAAUUUUUCAGCCGUCCAAUCAGAAAUGAUCUUUCAUCAGGACACAGCUGGAAGCUUGUUUGUGAUUGGUUGGACAGAAAAACUAUCUCUCUGCUCUAAUUCUGUCCUGUACAGUACCCUGACACGUACAUGUUUAUUAUACGGAGAGAUGGAUCAGUUUUUGUGUGUUUUUACUUUGAAAGUGGGCAUGGAAGGAGACCUCUCAUAAAUACAUGUUUUAAUAAAGAAUGAAAUCUUGUCAGUGUAUAUUAUAUUGACAGAUAUGAUAGAAUGUAUAUUGUUUUAUUUGCCAAUAAAAUAAAAGAGAUUUUUCACAUUA